rnacentral:rRNA from 1 species
GACGAACGCUGGCGGCGUGCCUAAUACAUGCAAGUCGAACGAGAGCGACCGGUGCUUGCACUGGUCAAUCUAGUGGCGAACGGGUGAGUAACACGUGGGUAACCUGCCCAUCAGAGGGGGAUAACAUUCGGAAACGGAUGCUAAAACCGCAUAGGUCUUCGAACCGCAUUGUUUGAAGAGGAAAAGAGGCGCAAGCUUCUGCUGAUGGAUGGACCCGCGGUGCAUUAGCUAGUUGGUGAGGUAACGGCUCACCAAGGCCGUGAUGCAUAGCCGACCUGAGAGGGUGAUCGGCCACAUUGGGACUGAGACACGGCCCAAACUCCUACGGGAGGCAGCAGUAGGGAAUCUUCCGCAAUGGACGCAAGUCUGACGGAGCAACGCCGCGUGAGUGAAGAAGGUUUUCGGAUCGUAAAACUCUGUUGUUAGAGAAGAACAAGUGCUAGAGUAACUGUUAGCGCCUUGACGGUAUCUAACCAGAAAGCCACGGCUAACUACGUG